ACUCCUACGGGAGGCAGCAGUGGGGAAUAUUGGACAAUGGGCGCAAGCCUGAUCCAGCCAUGCCGCGUGAGUGAUGAAGGCCCUAGGGUUGUAAAGCUCUUUCACCGGUGAAGAUAAUGACGGUAACCGGAGAAGAAGCCCCGGCUAACUUCGUGCCAGCAGCCGCGGUAAUACGAAGGGGGCUAGCGUUGUUCGGAUUUACUGGGCGUAAAGCGCACGUAGGCGGACUAUUAAGUCAGGGGUGAAAUCCCGGGGCUCAACCCCGGAACUGCCUUUGAUACUGGUAGUCUUGAGUUCGAGAGAGGUGAGUGGAAUUCCGAGUGUAGAGGUGAAAUUCGUAGAUAUUCGGAGGAACACCAGUGGCGAAGGCGGCUCACUGGCUCGAUACUGACGCUGAGGUGCGAAAGCGUGGGGAGCAAACAGGAUUAGAUACCCGGGUAGUCC
rnacentral:rRNA from 1 species